rnacentral:rRNA from 1 species
UACGUAGGGGGCUAGCGUUGUCCGGAAUCAUUGGGCGUAAAGAGCGUGUAGGCGGUCCGGUAAGUCCGCUGUGAAAGUCGGGGGCUCAACCCUCGAAUGCCGGUGGAUACUGUCGGGCUAGAGUGCGGAAGAGGCGAGUGGAAUUCCUGGUGUAGCGGUGAAAUGCGCAGAUAUCAGGAGGAACACCUAUUGCGAAGGCAACUCGCUGGGACGUAACUGACGCUGAGACGCGAAAGCGUGGGGAGCAAACAGG